rnacentral:rRNA from 1 species
UUCGCAAUGCCCGAAAGGGUGACGAAGCGACGCCGCGUGCGGGAAGAAGGCCUUCGGGUUGUAAACCGCUGUCGGGAGUUAAGAAGUGCAAGGGUGUUAAUAGCAUCUUUGCUUGACUAAGGCUCCGGAGGAGGCCACGGCUAACUCUGUGCCAGCAGCCGCGGUAAUACAGAGGCGGCAAGCGUUGUUCGGAAUUAUUGGGCGUAAAGAGCACGUAGGCGGCUAUGCAAGUCGGUUGUGAAAGCCUUCCGCUCAACGGAAGAACGGCAUCCGAUACUGCAUGGCUCGAGUGCGGGAGGGGAGAGUGGAACUUCUGGUGGAGCGGUGAAAUGCGUAGAUAUCAGAAGGAACACCGGCGGCGAAAGCGACUCUCUAGCCCGUAACUGACGCUGAGUGUGCGAAAGCUAGGGGAGCAAACGGGAUUAGAUACCCCGGUAGUCCUAGCCGUAAACGAUGGGCACUAAGUAGAGGGGUUUU